rnacentral:lncRNA from 1 species
UUCAUUAUAUCAUCUGCUUUGGUUUUGCUACCUAUGAACUCCUUCUGUCCAUUGUCAUUUUCAGUAUGUCCCGUGAAGUAACGGAUCAUUAAGGUGACUAGAACAAGAAAAGCCACUAACAGACCUACGUUCCCGAUAUAUUUGGUAAGCUUAUUUAACCGAUGCUGUAGUGGCGUUUGCUCAUUCUUGUCAUCUGUUAUUGUGCACAUUAUCUGACCCCAUGCAUUGUUUAUACCUACCGACGUGACAAGCAUGUGUCCAUAUCCGUCCAUUACCUUUGUUCCACCCACCAAAAAGGGGUUUUGUGUCUCGUUAAUUUGAACAUGGUCACUUUCACCUGCAGAAGUAAAUCCAAAAUAUACAUUUAGGGGGUCCUUUGGUAGAGUGCAUUAGUUAAAAUAAUGCACACAUUAGCUUUAUGUAUUACUAAUACCUUGUUUGGUACGAUUACUCAACCUAUGUAUAACUAUAAUAUAUACAUGGAAAAUCAUGUUAUUAGCAACGCAAAGGGUUCUAAUAUGCAUUAGCAUGUUUAAAGAUGCAAUUGACCCUCAAAACCUUUUCCAAGUCCUUUCCACCGUAUUUGUGGUGGAUAUUUUUGUAAACAAAUAAUUUGUUUUUGGAAAUUAUGCAACACAUUAUUUUUAAUAGACCAAAUCAAACUCUGCAUAAGAAAUAACCUCAGCAUAACCCAUAAUAGCAUUACUAAUGUGCCGUAUGCGCCUUCUGUGUUCUUUAUUAUAUAGGUUCAAUACUUAAUAUUUAUCUUACUUUUUUUUUUUUUUUACAUUAAUAUCUAUUGUUUAUACUGAGAGUGACAUUUUCAAUUAUAUUCAUUCCCUAGACUAGGUCUGCCUAUAUUCACCUGUCAUGCAGGACUCGUCUACUUGCAGCGAAUGGCCAUCCAAGAAGAGUCCAUCUGCUGGGAUCUGAUCGCCGAUUUUGAGACAGACAACAUCACCCACAACAAUAUCAUAGAUAGAUACUUCCUGUCUACGUCCGUCUCUCAUUACUUCUACUUUUAUAUCCUUGCUCUCAUCCGAAAGCUUCAGAAACUGUCUGCUUUGUUUGAAG